rnacentral:rRNA from 1 species
AUUGAACGCUGGCGGCAGGCCUAACACAUGCAAGUCGAGCGGAUGAAGGGAGCUUGCUCCUGGAUUCAGCGGCGGACGGGUGAGUAAUGCCUAGGAAUCUGCCUGGUAGUGGGGGAUAACGUCCGGAAACGGGCGCUAAUACCGCAUACGUCCUGAGGGAGAAAGUGGGGGAUCUUCGGACCUCACGCUAUCAGAUGAGCCUAGGUCGGAUUAGCUAGUUGGUGGGGUAAAGGCCUACCAAGGCGACGAUCCGUAACUGGUCUGAGAGGAUGAUCAGUCACACUGGAACUGAGACAGAGUCCAGACUCCUACGAGAGGCAGCAGUGGGGAAUAUUGGACAAUGGGCGAAAGCCUGAUCCAGCCAUGCCGCGUGUGUGAAGAAGGUCUUCGGAUUGUAAAGCACUUUAAGUUGGGAGGAAGGGCAGUAAGUUAAUACCUUGCUGUAUUGACGUUACCAACAGAAUAAGCACCGGCUAACUUCGUG